rnacentral:misc_RNA from 1 species
CUGAGUAACCGGGUCUCUAAAGGCCCUUACUCCCACCCUAUGUGUAUCUUCUAUUACUUUUUGGUUGCCUUGGUGGGUUAAACCCCUAAUAUCUGCAAAGAUUUAGGCGGUUCCACCAGGGGGACCGCCCCUAAACUCUGUUAAACAUGGGCAGUCUGAGUAAAAAAAAAUCAAAUAAAUUA